rnacentral:rRNA from 1 species
GGGCCCGCACAAGCGGUGGAGCUUGUGGUUUAAUUCGAUGCAACGCGAAAAACCUUACCUACUCUGACAUACUUGGAAGCUCUUGUAAUGAGAGUGUGCCUUUUGGAGCCAAGAUACAGGUGCUGCAUGGCUGUCGUCAGCUCGUGUCGUGAGAUGUUCCGUUAAGUCGGAUAACGAGCGCAACCCUUACCCUUAUUUGCCAGCGGUUAGGCCGGGAACUAUAAGGGAACUGCCGGUAAUAAGCCGGAGGAAGGUGGGGACGACGUCAAGUCAUCAUGGCCCUUACGUGUAGGGCUACACACGUGCUACAAUGGGAGAUACAGACGGUUGCUAAAGCGCGAGCUGGAGCCAAUCCGACAAAGUCUCUCGUAG